UUGGUGUAGCCUUCUUGAAGUAGGUGUGGCCUUGCUGGAGGAAGUGUGUCACUGGCAGUAGGCUUUAACAUUUCAGAAGAACAAGUCAGGUAGAGUGGUUCUCUCUAUCUUCUGCUGCCUGCAGAUAUGGAUGUAGAAUUCUCAGCACUUUGUUCACCAUAAUGUCUACCUGCCUGCUAACAUACAUAUAAUGGAAUAAAUCUCAGAAUCUCUAAGUAAGCCCCAAUUAAAUGUUUUCUUUACUAAGAAUUGUUGUUUUCAUGCUGUCUCUCUUCACAACAAUAGAAUACUGGCUAACACAAGUGAAUGACAGAAAAAAGCAAAAUAAAAUAUCACUUUAACAAUGAUAGAAGUUUUUUUUCCCAGAAGCCUAAGAUAAAAAAAUAUAAUUCUAGGAUAAAUAAGAAGCUGGAAAAGUGACUUUUCAUUGUUCUGAUUUAUUUUAUAAAUAAACUUCUUCUUCUUGACUAAAUCUACAUUGGAAGGUGAUGAUGUAGGAAGAUUGGUGAAUCAGACUUCAUUUUGUCGGUUUGCAAAGUGCAGUUAGAAAACGAUGUUUUUCCCACAUAUGGACUGGCUUUUAGAAACUUGGAAGAAAUAUGGUCUUUCACUUCUCAAGUCAAUGGGGAAAAACCAAUAUCCAUCACUUGGGCAUGAUAUUGCAAGAAACCGACAAUGCCUCCUUGGAGCAUCACAGGGAUCCGAGACACUCACUUCAAUCUCACAGACAGGUAUUAUCCAAGGGUGGCUCUUCACUUCCAACAAUUGGCCAUGUCUGUGUUGUUUGAUAUAUUGUCAUCUAUCAAAAAAUACAAAUUACUUGAAUGAGUACCUCAUAUCAGAAUGGGAACUUGCUAGGCAUCUUUU
rnacentral:lncRNA from 1 species